UCUAAUAUGGCAGAAUUUAAUGCAAUGAACUUAAAAUUCAUUCAUAAAGAACAAUCUUUUUUUAGAA
rnacentral:tRNA from 1 species